UAGUCGCGUUCGUUAACCACUGCGCCACGACGGGAACUCCUGUUCUCGAUUAGUUUUACCUGUUCUAGACUUUCACAAAACAGAAUUAUAACAGCAUUCUUUUUCUUUCAGCUCUUUGUUCAGCGUAGCAUCUGUGAGAUCUUCCUCUGUUGUCAAGGUAUUAAUAGUGCAUUCCUUUUAAUUCAUCCAUCCAUUGAAUUCACUUUGGAUGGAUAUUUGGAUUAUUCUAGGCUUUGGUUACCAUGAUAGUCUCUGUCUUCUUUAAUUGUCUUAUUUAGUCUAUUUACAUUUAACACCGUCUUUCAAUUGUUUAUUUGAAAUCACUGCAGACUUAGAGAAAUGUUGCAAGGAUAGUUGUGUUCCCCCUAAUGUUAACAUUUUUACGUAACCGUGGCACAGGCAGCAACAACAGGAGAUUGCAACAGUAUGAUUAAGUACUUCGCAGAUCCUCUUCCAGUUUCACCACCUUUUCCCUAAUGUCUUUUUCUGGCCCCAAGUCCAAUCCAGUCCUGAGCCUCACAUGACAUUUAGUUGUCAUGUCCCCUCCAAUCAGUGACACUACCCUGAUGUUUCUCCUGUUUUCCUUGACCUUGAAACUUGGAUGAGUACACUUUCGGACGGCCCCUCCCUCAGUUUGGGUUGACGGGUGUUUUCUGGAGAGCAGGCUGUGGUUGUGCAUUUUAGGCAGGCCACCAGGGAACUCCAGAAGUUGAUUUCUUAAGCGGUGCAUGUAGAGAUUAGAUUUUCAUAAUAAAGAUAUUUGUGUUAAUGAUAUUUUUUCCCACAUAGUCUCCAAUGCCAAGGCAGUGAAACAGGAAAAUAUUAAAAGGAAAAAACAAAAAGCCUGGCACUCUAGGUAUAAGAUAUAACUUCUUUUUGACCCUUUGGGAUAGAAUUUCACCUCAUCAGACAAGGUUUCACAAAGUUUUCAAAGACCCUCUCCUAGAAGUAGAGAAACAAGAAGACAGGUGCCAGGUAUGAAUCACUGUUGAGUCACCUGGGGCUGUGUUUUGUCAACGGAUUAAAAAGUCUCCGGGUCACCUUUCCUUCCACUCUGCACAUCCUGCAGGUUCGAACAGUGCCUUACACGGGUUACAAAUCACUUUCAUAUCCACCGGCUCACUUGCUAGUUCAACUCUGUGAUAGAGGCGUGGAGGGGGUGCACUGGGAGCCUCUUACACAUGAAGACAGGGAGACUGGUCCAAAGUCCCUGGGAACACAGGGGCAGUGAUCCUAGACUUCUGUUUCUGUUUUCUUUUUUUUUUUUUAAGGGCCGCACCCGUGGCGCAUAUGGAAGUUCCUGGCCUACACCACACUCCGAUUCAACCCCUAGCCUGGGAACUUCCAUAGGCCACAGGGGCGGCCCUAAAAAGCAAACAUAAAUAAAUAAAAAUAAAAGCUUAAAAAAAAAAAGAUGUUCAACAUGAAGAUGACACUCUAAACAUUCUACUUGGCAAAACAACAGAAGCACAUUCCCAAGGGAAUACCAAGGCGAGCGCCAGGAAAUGACAACAGGUCAUCGUAGUAAACGGUGCUCAGUGACACUUCCUUAUUUCACCAAAUCUAAGAAGCUACUGAUUCUAAAAUGCACCAUUAUUCCAUGCCAGUCAGAAAGCAAAGUCCUCCCAACUAACCCAUGACACGUUGACUUUAAGAUGCAUCCUGACCUCAGAUGUGUCCAAACAUGUCUCAGGUUUGAUGAAAUGCAGAAAUGCAAGACCCGCUUUCUCCAACUGCGGUUAUCACCUUCCCCGGCGUCACUAGCUCGUUACCUUAUCGAUACUGUUGAAUAGCGGCAGUGCCGUGUGUGGGACUGUCAGUGGGAAGAGGAACAGGAUGAAAGAAUGAAAGCAUCAUCUGCUGGGAAUCUGCUCAGAUCGGGUCCUACAAGGAAAAUUCUAGGAGCCUGGAGCGGUGAGCUCUCAGCAGCUCCCUGUAAAAGCAGCUCUUACAAGAGUGAAUUUUCAGAUCUCCUUUGUCUACUGCCCGUCAAAAGAAAUCACAUGACAAACGCUCAGCUCUUGGGGCGCAAACCCUGUGCAGGUAUUGGAGCAUCUGGGCGACGACACCCUGACACCUUCGUUUUGUUCAGUGAAGAGUUAAAGGAGGCAGCUGGUGCUGACCACGUGCCACGAAGCGCCCAAACGCACACAAAGCAUCAGAGCAGAUUCUCAGCCGAGCUGCCGGCUGUGAUCCCUAUUGAAAGGAUGAAGAACGGGGAGCUCAGGAAAGCUCAGUGGGUGGGUGAGGUCCAUCGGGUGGAAUGUCUGCGUCAGGAUUCAAACCCACGUCUGUCCACCGGCCCCCAAAGGCCCUGCGCUUUCCAUUGCUCAGGGGACAGAAAGCAGGAAGGGCGGAGGCCUUUAAAGGCCUGAAAAUCAGCUAGACUAAGCCAGAGUCUGGAAGGCCGACCCUCUGUCUAAACAACUGCCCAGCAAACUAUGGACCUUUUGCUGCAGAAGGGCCCAUUCACGUGGGGACCAUCGGUCCGUGGGACAGCUGUGCACCUGAGUGAGGGGGUUUCUGGCACCACCCCAGCUUCAUGUCACGUCUCACCUAAGAUCUGCCUGAGAACACAGAGCCACCAGCCAUGCAGCUGGAAGCGAGGACAAGAUGUGAACACAGUCACCAUGGAAGACAACGUGUAAAGAGGGCCACACGAACGACCUCUGAAUAUAGCAGCCCCUUGCAGCCAACUCCCAGCAAUCAGGGACAUUGGUGGCCAUGGAGCUGGGCUCUGCGCUGCACCAUGAAGAACAGACAGGUGCUAGUAGCCAGAGGAGGGAGCGUGCGUGGCUCGAGCAAGCAUCUGGGAACAGGACAUGGGGGAGAGGAGAGGAGUCUGCGGAGGUGGAGAGGGUGAGGUUUGACAGGUACUCACCACCAAGGUAACAAUAUUCUAUGAAUUCACUUGGGGCUCAAGAAGGCUGAGCAGGUGGUGGGUUUCAGGGCAGCAGGGUGACCGUCUGACUACCCUGCGGAGUGGACCGGGAACCACCAGCUGGCGGGAGAGCUGGAGGGGUAAUUCACACCUGACUCACAAGGGCUCACACCUGGGCAGGGGCAUCAAAACACAACGCAAAGCAGAUCAUAACCCACCGGACUUAGGGAACCAAAACAAGGAAGGCUCCUCAGGAAAAGAAUAGAGACGCUUUAGAACAGUGAUUCUCAACCGGGGGCAUUUUUGCAAUGUCCAGCAGUAUCCAGGGACAUUUUCAGGUGUCAUCACCGGAAGGGUGGCAUCUGGGGGGGGCAGAGGUCAGGGAUGCCACUAAACAGUCCACAGCAGACAGGGCAGCUCCCACAACAAAGAAUUCUCAGGUCCACAAUAAUCCACCAUGUUGAGGUCUAGACGCAUAAUUCGGGGACCGUAGGGAAACGGAAGUGGCACCAGGGUUCCACUCACCAGGCAGCUCACAAACCAAAAAGGCAAAG
rnacentral:lncRNA from 1 species